GAUGGCUGGUUCCUGUUGAAAUAUGCCUCAGUAUAGUCUCACUUAGUUUGUUGGCGGGGUAAAGUACGGAUAGAAUUCGCAGGGUCGAAAGAUUACGGAAUUUCUUCCAACUCUGAACCUGUCAGCUGCUUAAAGUGGGAAUCGGGGGCAGCGCGUAAGGUGCUGUUCCGAGACCGGAACAACGGAGACUGGAGUUAAGGUCCCAAAAUGUAUACUAAGUGUAACGAAAGGUGUCUUGAACCUAAGACAGUGGGGAUGUAGGCCCAGAAGCAGCCAACAUUUAAAGAAAGCGUAAUAGCUCACCUAUCGAGGUUCGAGGCCCUGAAAAUGGACGGGGCUAAGUAUACUACCGAUACUCCGGAGGCGCUCAGAUGAGCGUUCUGGUAAGCAGGCGUCUGUUCUGCGCAGAAGUUUUUUCGUAAGAAAGGAUGGAGCGGGACGGAAUGAGAAUCUUGGCGUUAGUAAGAUCAGAUCAACCUGAGAAUGGUUGGCGUCGCAAGAGCAAGGUUUCCUUGGCAAUAUCGUUUAACCAAGGGUUAGUCGGUACCUAAGCUAUACCUUAACUGAGUAUAGCGAAUGGAAAUCAGGUUAAUAUUCCUGAACUAAUCAAACUUUGCAUAUAAUUCGCUUUGGGAUAGGCAGGCAUCUGGAAGGAUGCUUGGAUAUAGAAAUCUGUGG
rnacentral:rRNA from 1 species